AUCUUCUCCGGUUGCGAAGAAGGACGGUAACAUUGUUCCUAUCUCUUGGUUGUGAUUCUCUGAUUGUGUGUAAUUGUUUGAUUCUAUUUGUGAGUACUGAUUGUUUGAGCUGUGAAUACUAUAUUUUUUGGUGAUAUUUGUGAAUGAUUUAAUUCAUUUGAGCAUGGCUUCUAACACGAAUGGUGGUGGUUCUAGUAGUAACUC
rnacentral:lncRNA from 1 species